rnacentral:rRNA from 1 species
GUCGAGCGAAUGGAUUAAGAGCUUGCUCUUAUGAAGUUAGCGGCGGACGGGUGAGUAACACGUGGGUAACCUGCCCAUAAGACUGGGAUAACUCCGGGAAACCGGGGCUAAUACCGGAUAACAUUUUGAACCGCAUGGUUCGAAAUUGAAAGGCGGCUUCGGCUGUCACUUAUGGAUGGACCCGCGUCGCAUUAGCUAGUUGGUGAGGUAACGGCUCACCAAGGCAACGAUGCGUAGCCGACCUGAGAGGGUGAUCGGCCACACUGGGACUGAGACACGGCCCAGACUCCUACGGGAGGCAGCAGUAGGGAAUCUUCCGCAAUGGACGAAAGUCUGACGGAGCAACGCCGCGUGAGUGAUGAAGGCUUUCGGGUCGUAAAACUCUGUUGUUAGGGAAGAACAAGUGCUAGUUGAAUAAGCUGGCACCUUGACGGUACCUAACCAGAAAGCCACGGCUAACUACGUGCCAGCAGCCGCGGUAAUACGUAGGUGGCAAGCGUUAUCCGGAAUUAUUGGGCGUAAAGCGCGCGCAGGUGGUUUCUUAAGUCUGAUGUGAAAGCCCACGGCUCAACCGUGGAGGGUCAUUGGAAACUGGGAGACUUGAGUGCAGAAGAGGAAAGUGGAAUUCCAUGUGUAGCGGUGAAAUGCGUAGAGAUAUGGAGGAACACCAGUGGCGAAGGCGACUUUCUGGUCUGUAACUGACACUGAGGCG